CCAUCAUUAAGUUGGGCACUCUAGGUUGACUGCCGGUGACAAACCGGAGGAAGGUGGGGAUGACGUCAAAUCAUCAUGCCCCUUAUGAUUUGGGCUACACACGUGCUACAAUGGACAAUACAAAGGGCAGCUAAACCGCGAGGUCAUGCAAAUCCCAUAAAGUUGUUCUCAGUUCGGAUUGUAGUCUGCAACUCGACUACAUGAAGCUGGAAUCGCUAGUAAUCGUAGAUCAGCAUGCUACGGUGAAUACGUUCCCGGGUCUUGUACACACCGCCCGUCACACCACGAGAGUUUGUAACACCCGAAGCCGGUGGAGUAACCAUUUAUGGAGCUAGCCGUCGAAGGUGGGACAAAUGAUUGGGGUGAAGUCGUAACAAGGUAGCCGUAUCGGAAGGUGCGGCUGGAUCACCUCCUUUCUAAGGA
rnacentral:rRNA from 1 species